UACAGAGGUCUCAAGCGUUGUUCGGAUUCAUUGGGCGUAAAGGGUGCGUAGGUGGCGCCGUAAGUCGGGCGUGAAAUUUCGGAGCUUAACUCCGAAACUGCAUUCGAUACUGCGGUGCUUGAGGACUGGAGAGGAGACUGGAAUUCAUGGUGUAGCAGUGAAAUGCGUAGAGAUCAUGAGGAAGACCAGUGGCGAAGGCGGGUCUCUGGACAGUUCCUGACACUGAGGCACGAAGGCCAGGGGAGCAAACGGG
rnacentral:rRNA from 1 species